rnacentral:lncRNA from 1 species
AGAAGAGAUGGCUCAGUGGUUAAGGCUAUUAUUGGCUGCUCUUCAGGGGACUUGGAUUUGGUAUCUAGCACCUAUGUGGCAGCUCACAGCUGUCUGCAACUACAGUUCUAAGGAUCUGGUGCCAACUUCUGGCUUCCACAGUGCUACAUGCAUGUGAUGUGUGUAUAUAUAUAUAUGUGUGUGUGUGUGUACAUGUGUGUGUG